UGUCAAAUAACGACACAUAACUAUAGAGUUAUUACUGCUGGUGUACAGAAAGUGUUGGAAGGCCUUAGGUUUCUGGAGGCCCCACUUUCCUUGAUCCCAUCCAAGUUAGCCGACUAGCUCUCAUGUUAACCAUCGAUACGGCCGAAAAGACAACACAAGCUUGACUUAAACACUAAAAUGGCUAUUAAGAGAAGUCAGGCAUACAUCCCCCUGGCGGACCACGGUGUCGGAUGAAAGCACUAAAGCCGUGCUCGCUGCUGCUUCUCGCAGCCAGUAUGACGGAGACGGAGAGCCGGAGAGGCGGACGGGGUUCAGCGGGAGGGAGGCCGACUGACAGCGGAUCAGUCCAAUGGAGGACCGGGAACAGAGGGACAUUUCCGACAGAACACACGGAUAGGGAAGGCCCCGCAGCUGGCUCCGCGUGACGAGCGGCUCGUGUCACCAAUGAGCGGAUGAGGCUCCGCUGGCAGCUACUUGGAAACGUGGAGAGGUGAAAUGAUGCUGUAUGUAUAAGGGCCAGACCCGGGCCACUGAUGUCAUCCAGGUCACUUUCUCCAUAAUGCACAGCACCUAGUGAAGACUGUGGGAAAAGAUAGAGCCACCCUGACGACAUUUAUUGGUUCGUGGAAAAUUAUGACCAUCUUCAGUUAAAGCCAGAAGUUACCACAUGAGGACAAGAAGGCUCGGACUCUGCUGGAUGUCCACGUUGACCCAGAAUAUUUCUUGGACUCACUUCGAUGAAAAAAUGUGCAGAGGUUUUGAUUCCUGACAUUUCUCUGAAGAAAUGACAUUCCUACUGAGACAUUCCUGCAUCUAAUCAACACACAGGAAUCUGACUGGAGCGUUCACUGACAAUGAAACUGUGAGCUCCAGAUGAAUGCACUGUUACAGGAGGAAAGACAUACUAACCUCUUUUGCUAGUUUCUGUCCCUGCUCGGUGGCGAUGGGCUUCUCCUUCAUGUCGUUCAGUUUGGCGAUGGUCUUCGGGUCAUCACGAAGAUCAAUCUGAAAGACAGAGGGAUACUUUCUCUGUUCAAUAUGAAGCUUUUCCUACAAAUGUAUCUUAUUAAAACAUU